UGAGGAAUAUUGGUCAAUGGACGAGAGUCUGAACCAGCCAAGUAGCGUGCAGGAUGACGGCCCUAUGGGUUGUAAACUGCUUUUGUUUGGGAAUAAUCGACAUUACGUGUAAUGUUUUGCAUGUACCAUUCGAAUAAGGACCGGCUAAUUCCGUGCCAGCAGCCGCGGUAAUACGGAAGGUCCGGGCGUUAUCCGGAUUUAUUGGGUUUAAAGGGAGCGUAGGCUGUCUAUUAAGCGUGUUGUGAAAUUUACCGGCUCAACCGGUGGCUUGCAGCGCGAACUGGUCGACUUGAGUAUGCAGGAAGUAGGCGGAAUUCAUGGUGUAGAGGUGAAAUGCUUAGAUAUCAUGACGAACUCCGAUUGCGCAGGCAGCUUACUGUAGCAUAACUGACGCUGAUGCUCGAAAGUGCGGGUAUCAAACAGG
rnacentral:rRNA from 1 species